UGAGUGACACAGCGAGAUUAUAUCUUAAAAA
rnacentral:piRNA from 1 species